rnacentral:rRNA from 1 species
CAGGCCUAACACAUGCAAGUCGAGGGGCAGCGCGGGAGAAGCUUGCUUUUCCUGGCGGCGACCGGCGCACGGGUGCGUAACAGGUGUGCAAUCUGUCCAUAAUCGGGGCAUAGCCCAGCGAAAGUUGGAUUAAUUCUCCAUGUGAGUUGAAGCCGCAUGACUUUAACUUGAAACGUAAGGAUUAUGGGUGAGCACGCUUCUGAUUAGCUAGUUGGUGGGGUAACGGCUCACCAAGGCGACGAUCAGUAGGGGUUCUGAGAGGAAGGUCCCCCACAUUGGAACUGAGACACGGUCCAAACUCCUACGGGAGGCAGCAGUGAGGAAUAUUGGUCAAUGGGCGAGAGCCUGAACCAGCCAAGUCGCGUGAAGGAUGAAGGUUCUAUGGAUUGUAAACUUCUUUUGUCUGAGGGUAAAAAAGUCCACGUGUGGAUUCUUGCAAGUAUCAGACGAAUAAGCAUCGGCUAACUCCGUGCCAGCAGCCGCGGUAAUACGGAGGAUGCGAGCGUUAUCCGGAUUUAUUGGGUUUAAAGGGUGCGUAGGUGGUUUGUUAAGUCAGUGGUGAAAGCGUGCGGCUCAACCGUACCGAGCCAUUGAUACUGGCGAACUUGAGUGCAAACGAGGUAGGCGGAAUGUGAUGUGUAGCGGUGAAAUGCUUAGAUAUGUCACAGAACCCCGAUUGCGAAGGCAGCUUACCAGCAUGCAACUGACACUGAGGCACGAAAGCGUGGGUAUCAAACAGGAUUAGAUACCCUGGUAGUCCACGCAGUAAACGAUGAAUACUAGCUGUUGGCGAUAUAAUGUCAGCGGUACAGCGAAAGUGUUAAGUAUUCCACCUGGGGAGUACGCCGGCAACGGUGAAACUCAAAGGAAUUGACGGGGGCCCGCACAAGCAGCGGAGCAUGUGGUUUAAUUCGACGCAACGCGAAGAACCUUACCAGGUCUUGACAUCCAAUAAAAGCCAUAGAGAUAUGGUGUGUGCUUGCACAUAUUGAGACAGGUGGUGCAUGGUUGUCGUCAGCUCGUGUCGUGAGAUGUUGGGUUAAGUCCCGCAACGAGCGCAACCCUUAUGUUCAGUUACUAACAGGUAAAGCUGAGGACUCUGAACAGACUGCCGGGGACAACUCGGAGGAAGGUGGGGACGACGUCAAAUCAUCAUGCCCCUUAUGACCUGGGCUACACUCGUGCUACAAUGGCCACCACAGAGAGGAGCGAACCCGUAAGGGGGAGCGGAUCUCAAAAAAGUGGUCCCAGUUCGGAUUGUGGGCUGCAACCCGCCCACAUGAAGUCGGAGUUGCUAGUAAUCGCAGAUCAGCAUGCUGCGGUGAAUACGUUCCCGG